GGUAAAUGUUGUAAUUCAAUACAUGUUAAUCCAUACAUAACAUUGUUUAAAAGAAGUGUUUGUAUAAUUUGAAGUACCAGUAUUUAUUCAGUUGAGAGAAACUAACAAGAUGAAUGCCGCAAAAACUCUGUUGCUAUCUUUAGUACUUGUCUUCCUCUUAGUGGAAAGCGAUGCAUGGAGGCGUAGAUUCAGAGUAAGGCACAUUUUCCGAAAAGUAAAACCCAAACCUCAAUGUGUAGCGGUUAACAUAUGCGGUGCUUGGUGUACCAAAAACAAAUGUAUGUGGUACUGUGACAACACAUGUAAUGUAAUGGUCAACAAUAAGUAUAACUGGAGAGGAGAAUUGUUUAGGUUACCAUGCAAAUUUUCAGCAUACGACUAUACUGGAGGUGGAUACUUUUAUCCGUCAGAUCUUGCAUACCAGAUUGGCAAGCGUGGCAGAGAACUUGACAAUAUGAUGGUUUUCAGACGUUUAGAUCAAAAUGGCGAUGGUAGAGUGUCAGGAAGAGAGUUUAGUAAUACGAAAAAAUAUCUUCUAAUUGACCAAAAUACAUGUUAAAGCUCUAAGAUAUUUGAAAAAAAGAAACAUCGCCAGAUGCAUCAACAUUAACUUUGACAGUUCCAAAAAGUGUUAUUUUAUUUUUCAUUUUGUUUGUUAAUUUUAAAUUAGAAUUCGCUCGACAAUACUUUUUAUUGAAAAUAAAUGAUACAUGACUUGA